GCUGGGCAUGGUGGUGCAUGCCUGUAAUCCCAGUUACUCGGGAGGCUGAGGCAGGAGAAUAGCUUGAACCAGGGAGUCGGAGGUUGCAGUGAACCGAGAUCGUGCCACUGCACUCCAGCCUGGUAAGAGAGCAAGACUCUGUCUCAA
rnacentral:SRP_RNA from 1 species